rnacentral:rRNA from 1 species
UGGGGAAUAUUGGACAAUGGGCGAAAGCCUGAUCCAGCCAUGCCGCGUGAGUGACGAAGGCCUUAGGGUUGUAAAACUCUUUCGUCGGGGACGAUAAUGACGGUACCCGAAGAAGAAGCUCCGGCUAACUUCGUGCCAGCAGCCGCGGUAAUACGUAGGGACCAAGCGUUGUUCGGAUUUACUGGGCGUAAAGGGCGCGUAGGCGGUGUGUCAAGUCAGUUGUGAAAUCUCCGAGCUUAACUCGGAACGGUCAACUGAUACUGUCACACUAGAGUACAGAAGGGGCAAUCGGAAUUCUUGGUGUAGCGGUGAAAUGCGUAGAUAUCAAGAGGAACACCUGAGGCGAAGGCGGGUUGCUGGGCUGAUACUGACGCUGAGGCGCGAAAGCUAGGGUAGCAAACGGGAUUAGAUACCCCAGUAGUCCCUGAGCGGGCUGGCAAGGCGCAU